GAGAAUGGCCUAAUACAGCAUGUAAGUUGAGGUGUGGGAAGGAAAAUGAACGGUUAAUGUUUCCUAAGCUCAUCUUACUGUUCAGGAGGGAAGGUUCAGAUAUUGAUUGCUUCUAGACAUCGUUAAAUGCAGUUUACAAAAUUGAAGGGAUAGUCAUUAAAGUAAUGAAAACCAAGCAUACAAUUUACAUACCAGUAAAGGGGUAAAAUGAAAUUUAAAAAUAAACAUGUAAAAAUGGAACAAUAAAAAUAGGUCAAGAAAGAAGGAUUUUUUAAUAUGAAUAAAGUGGGACAAAAAAGCAUUAGGAAUUGAGUCCAAAUAUUACUAAUCACAAUAAACAUAGAUCCAAUCAUUAACCUACAGAAAGUAGAGAUUAACCAAUUGCAUUUUUAAAAAGUCAAAUGCUUAAUACGAGACAAAAUCUAAAACCUACAUGUAUUAUUAUAAGACUGGGCUCAGAGGUUCCUGCUGCUGUUUCACAUCCCUCUAUAAAGAUUGAGAUAUUUGCAAAAUGAGGAAUCUGGGAUCUUAUAUCCUAGCAAGACACAAGUUUUCAUGGCUUCUCUGAUCUUCCCUGAGAUAACUAAAUGGGGGAAAAAGAGAACUGAGGAUGGCUGGGCAGUGCAAGAGGCAGCAGUGGACACAUUGCCCCAAUCCUUGGCCUGGCAAGGAUGCUGUGCAAGGUGGCUUUGCAGGAGGAAUCUCGUGUGACUCCCUUUAGUGGGUUGACCCCUUGGAGAGGACCCCAGUUACAAAGUCUGUGGGGAGUUCUAUCAUAGUACAGUAUUGAUUUUGGAGGAAAAGGCCUAGCCACAACCUCAUACUCCACAUCAAGGAAGCGUGCAAUAGGAACACCCAUCUUGGGGCCAGAAAAGAGAGUAACUUUGCUCAAACCUUCAAUGAUAGUUCCUUAGAGGGACAUAGAGACUCAGGUCGAUCUGACUCUGGGCCACCCCUCCAGCUCAUCCUCCAGCCACCAGGAGCCUCAGAAACAGGUCCUUCCCUUCAUACUCCAUCAGGCUACUGAUCUCGCUCCCUGAAAUUCCCCCUUUCAGUAACUCCACGUUCUUCAGAACUGCACCCUUCUCAGUCCAUCUGUGCUAAGGCCCCAGCCUGGGAUCUAUGCUUCUUCCCAGCUCCUGUGGUCCCAUGUCUACUUCUGUCCUUGUGCUGACUACACCCAGCUCUGACUGCCUGGGUAAUAUCACCAUAUAGUAAUGAACCAGGGAAAUAAAUUGGAAAAAGGGAAUAGAAAGAAAUGUCUCAAUGGGACUAAUUAUGGAAUAUAAAACACAAUGACUCCCUGUAUGCACUGGAAAAAGGCAGAGAGAAAAAGCUAACAAGACAGGCACCCCUAGUGAAGCAAAUUAGGUUCCUGAUUACACCGCUGUGGAGCUGAAAGAGAAAGUUCUCCAGGGUCCCUGUGCAUCUCUGGUCUCUCCAUUCAGAGUGGGGUGCAGGGCUGCAGGUGCCUUUCUCCUUCCUGGGGUAUAGAUCCUAAGGUGUAAGGUCCCCAGAGUGCUGAAACUGUGUGACACACAGGUGUAAACCCACUCUUAUGGCUGACUCCUGAGGAUGGGAGCUUCCAGUGGGGUCUGGGACUGCAUACCAAUUCCCCUCACUUAAGACCACUGAGGGUGACUGUGCUGUGAGGUAUGGUAAGCGCCAUUUGGAUGGUGUCUUACAUUGCAGGGAACGAUAUGUCUAGUCAUUCUCUACAUCCAGCUUUUGUGAAUGUGCACCCGAUAAAAGAGACUGAGGGCGAGUCACCUGUGGAGGAGCUGCUUUAUAGUCUAAGGUAAACUCAGUACUCUGUAUAUCCAUAGCAAUACAGGAACAAAUCUGUCUUCUCCUUUCCCCUGAUAAAGUCUUAUGUUGUUACUAUGGCAACUCAGUCCACAAAAUUGAUAAUAAUUAGAAACAAAAUAGGAGAACAUCUUUACCUACUGGAACUGGGAAAUAAAUCCCCAAAAGUACAAAGAAAAGAUAGGCAAAUAGCAAGCCAGUGGCCAAAUGUAAUAAAACACAGUUGGGCAGUUUAUGGGACUGAGGAAAUGUAUCCUGCCCUUGGUAACCACCUGUUUUAUUCUCUAUCUCUCUGUAUUUGACUUUUUAAAGAAACUUUCUUUUUAGAUUCCACAUUUAAGUGACAUCACACAGCAUUUUUCCUUCUGUGUCUGGUUUAUUUCAUGUCUUCUAGAUUCAUCUAUCUUGUAGCAAAUGUCAGGAUCUCUUUCCUUUUUAAGGUUGAAUAAUAUUUUAUUAAACACAAACACACACAUACACACACACACAUACACACUUCAGU
rnacentral:lncRNA from 1 species